AAUUAUAAAACGAUGUCAAUCAACGACAACAUUCACGUAACAUGUCCGCCAAAUUAUGAAAUUUUGUGUGACACGUGUGUAGGCCAAUUCUUUCUAGUUAGGCCCCUAUUUUAUAAUUGAUCAAUUUGCCAAUAUUUAGCUUAUACUAUAGGCUACCAGCAAAUUGAAUAUACAGGCCCCUAAUAAACAGACCCCUCCCAAACAAGAUCGAUAUGUAUGUGCCUAAAGGAGGCUUAGAGAAGAAAGUUAGAAAGAGGUGGCCGUCUAGGCCUACAUAUUAUUAUUAUACAAAACAGGACAGUAGUCGGGGUGGCACAGUGAUUGGUGAAGACGCUGGCUCGCAAGGCCUAUUCUGGAGGACUCGGGUUUACACCCUAUCAUAGCUAAAAGACUAAAGAGUGAAUAUGGUUUAAUGAAGCAACUGUUGAAUACAGUUAAACUACAAGUUCUUCAACUAUCUAAUAGUGUUGACAGAAGUGCUGAUCGAUGUCCACUUCAAGACAAUACACUACAACAGAAUAAGAGUUUCCUGUUUGUGGAAAAUCAAGAAAUACGACGACAACUCGAAAAAGCCAUCUUAGAUUUAAAAGGGAUACAAAUAGAAAAUGGCAGAGAACACAGAUAUUUGAGGUCACUUCAGGAUGAGUUAAAGAAAAAAGAGGAAGAAGGAUUAAUAUCAGAAGAACUGACAGCAAUUGUAACUGAACUUACAAAUGAACAUGCAACUAAUUGCCAAUUAAAAAAAGAAGUUGAAAACUCCAUUCAGAAAGCUAAACAGAAAGCUUCCAGGGUGAAGUCUCCAACUCACCGAUCUCUGAAUGAUGUCUGUCACAAAGAUGAUGAUUUCAGUUUCUUCAAACACGCCUAUGACAUACAAUAAUCGGGGGUGGGGGUGGGGCGGUGUAGCUUAUAUCGGAUUUCAGAAAAUAUAGCCUUGACAUGUCAAAGGUACACAGAGGUUAAUAUAGCAACUAGUUUUAUUGAUAUUAUUGCUUGAGAGAACCUUUUGUUUAUAUUGACAAUAAUUCAACAAUUAUGUUUUAUUGGGCCAUGCAUUAAAAAGAGAUAUACCGGUAAUAAUUGUACCUCUGAGGUGCCUGCAUGUUUUGCAAUGAGAUUACAUCUAUUCUGAAUCUGCUAUAGGCUAGCCAGCCCUAAUUUCUGUAUGCCAUAGUACAAUUGAAAAAAGUUGGAUUAAUUACUGGGAAAUAGUAGAUAAUUAGUUCAUAUCAUGAGCAGUAAAUAACUCAGUGAACUGGGAAAUAAAUAUUACAGUUAUUUUAUUUUGUUCAAUAUUUUUGUACAUAUUCAUUAAAUCCAUUUCAUUUUAAUGUGUUCAGUUUUCCAGUGUAAACGGCAUUCUUAUAUUACAAUUUCAUAUUAUUCACAUCAUCAAUGCCAUAAGAGAUUUCAAUUAUUUAUAUCUAGUUUAAAAAUCAAACCAAAGAUAAUCUAUGUUGUGAGAUUUGUUCACUGAUGUAUAAUUAGAUCAACCCAGUAUUGUCUGACUUAUGUUUCCAAUUACCAGGAAAAUUAGAAUUGUACAUGUAGAUACAUAUUGCACUUGUAGCCCAAAAUAAAUUAAUAAAGUUAAAUAUUACAAACUGAACAACAGUGUAAUAUCAACAUCGUAUAGUAGUGCCCCCAUCAAAAACUUACAAGUAGAAUAACACAUUAUUCAUAUUUUCACCUACAGGGGUUAAUAAUUGUAUAAAUGUGCUGAGAUUGAAAUAUCUCACAAGAUAUCAUGUUUUUAGCAACAAGUAUAUUUUUCUUGGUAGUUUGAAAGCACCACUGUAUGAAAAUAUUUAUGGCGCAAACUUCUCUUAAGAAGGUAAUAUAUCGGGAAUUUGUAUCAUGGUUAUUUAUUGAAUUUGGUUGUCAAUUUUGGAAUUGCCUCUGCUCCCAAAUAUCUUUUGAUUUCACAUUUAUCACUCAUAAUUAAUUUCAGAGUAAGUACUUUGAAUCUUAAUUUGUAAGAUUUUUCUUUGGUUAUAUAAAUACCAUGUAACUAUAUGAUGUAUAGAAUUUACAGUGAUAUUAUGUGAAGUCAUUUGAAAGUGGGAGUAAUCUGGAAAUGCCUAAUAAUGGUCUGUAAUUUCUAUGAUUCCUAAUGAGAAUCCUGUCCAUUGUAUUUUUGUUUUCAAUGUUUUUUUUAUUGAUAUUCUGACUUGUUAUAGUUUUAAGUACCAAGCUUUAAGUUUUUUAUAUUAGCUUGUCUUCUGUUAAUUUCAUUUGUUGUUUUUUUCUAUUUUUAUUUUUGUUUUGUUUUUUUGGAUUAAAUUCUGAAAUGUG